UACGUAGGGGGCAAGCGUUGUCCGGAUUUAUUGGGCGUAAAGAGCGUGUAGGCGGCCAGAUAGGUCGGUUGUGAAAACUGGAGGCUCAACCUCCAGACGUCGAUCGAAACCAUCUGGCUAGAGUCCGGAAGAGGAGAGCGGAAUUCCUGGUGUAGCGGUGAAAUGCGCAGAUAUCAGGAGGAACACCCGUGGCGAAAGCGGCUCUCUGGGACGGUACUGACGCUGAGACGCGAAAGCGUGGGGAGCGAACAGG
rnacentral:rRNA from 1 species